UACGGGGGGAGGCAAGCGUUGUUCGGAUUUACUGGGCGUAAAGGGCGCGUAGGCGGCCACCGCAAGUCGACUGUGAAAUCUCCGGGCUUAACUCGGAACGGUCAGCUGAUACUGCUUUGCUAGAGUGCAGAAGGGGCAAUCGGAAUUCUUGGUGUAGCGGUGAAAUGCGUAGAUAUCAAGAGGAACACCUGAGGUGAAGACGGGUUGCUGGGCUGACACUGACGCUGGAGGCGCGAAAGCUAGGUAGCAAACGGG
rnacentral:rRNA from 1 species